UUUGAUGACCUCUGCUAGCUC
rnacentral:misc_RNA from 1 species